rfam:Otolemur garnettii contig043344, whole genome shotgun sequence.
AGAGGUACAAAAGAGGGAGCUUCCGGUUAGCCCUCCUAUUGCAGCUGCCAGAACCUAGAUUCAAAAAGAGCUUCCAAGG